CAACUUACCGAUAAACUGAUGCUCCAUAGAAGUUAGGGAUAUAGCAUUUUAAAACUGAAACAAAAAAGAUAAUUAUUAAAAACGAACAUUUUAACAUAGAAAACUCGAUUUUUUACAUUUUUUCAAUCUAAUCAACCCAAUAUAAGACUUACACACAAAAAUAGGAAGACUGUUCCGCAAUUAUCUAUAAUCUAUUUUUAUGUAAGGCAUAGUAAUGGAACCUAUUUACUAAUUCAUGGCUAGUUUCAAAUGUUUAAUUUCCUAAAUCAAUUUGCACAAGCUCUUUUAGCUUCACUUAGAGCUGCUGAAGCAGCCAAAGAAAACAUGAAGGAAGUUUAUGAUAAGGCAACAAAAACAGUUUGCUGCUUGAUAUGGGUAUUACAACAUUAGAAAAGAAAAGAAAUUUUAAACUUUGGAUGUCGAAGAUGUUAUAGAUGAUUUGAAAAUCGGUUUCAUAGAGUUGAAAGUGUUCAAGAGUUAUACUAGAUCAACAUUAUUCUUUCUACAAGAACAUAUUAUCCUUUUAAUUUGAAUUUAACAGUUAAGUGAAAUCUCUCUACAUCUUGGUACAUAUACUCUUCUAUACAUCUUCAUGAUUCGGCGCUCAUAAAAUAUCUGGUCCUUAUCAGCAAAAAAUUGAACCAGGUGCGAUUUAGGGUCUCAUCUAACUAUAAGCUGUAUAGAACAAUAGAAGAAGGUUUGGAAUGGUCAAAAGACCUAUGUAUUGAAGAUUACAUUGCCGUAUCACAAGAUUUU